UACAGAGGUCCCGAGCGUUGUUCGGAUUCACUGGGCGUAAAGGGUGCGUAGGUGGUGAGGUAAGUCGGAUGUGAAAUCUCCAAGCUCAACUUGGAAACUGCAUUGGAAACUACCUUGCUAGAGGAUUUGAGGGGGGAUUGGAAUACUUGGUGUAGCAGUGAAAUGCGUAGAUAUCAAGUGGAACACCAGUGGCGAAGGCGAAUCCCUGGAAAAUACCUGACACUGAGGCACGAAAGCUAGGGGAGCAAACAGG
rnacentral:rRNA from 1 species